UACGUAGGUGGCAAGCGUUGUCCGGAUUUACUGGGCGUAAAGGGCGUGCAGGCGGUCUGUUAAGUGCAGGGUGAAAGCUCCCGGCUCAACUGGGAGAGGUCCUUGCAUACUGGCGGACUUGAGGGGGGUAGAGGAAAGUGGAAUUCCCGGUGUAGUGGUGAUAUGCGUAGAUAUCGGGAAGAACACCGAUGGCGAAGGCAGCUCUCUGGGACGGUACUGACGCUGAGACGCGAAAGCGUGGGGAGCGAACAGG
rnacentral:rRNA from 1 species